UACGUAGGGGUCGAGCGUUGUCCGGACUUACUGGGCGUAAAGCGUGGGUAGGUGGAUCGUGAUGUGCCGUGUGAAAAGCGCCGCGCUUCUCGCGGCGAGGGUCGCGGUAGACACACGAUCUAGAGGCACGGAGAGGGGCGUAGAAUUCCCCGGUGUAGUGGUGAAAAUGCGUAGAUAUCGGGGAGGAAUACCAGUGGCGCAAAGCGGCGCCCUGGGCCUGACCCUGACAC
rnacentral:rRNA from 1 species